rnacentral:lncRNA from 1 species
UGGCUUUAUUUUUUUAUGCCGUUCUUCAGCUGUCUUUCCCUUAUCACCCGCCCCACACUUGCACGUGUCUCCACCUGGCGACCCAGCCGUCUCAAGCAGCCCGCCUCUGCACUCACUAGGAGAGUCCCCGGCGCGCGCAGGCCCCACCCUCUUCGCCUCAGGGCUUCGUCUUGCUUCAGAGCCGAAGGGGGCGCGCGUGAAGUCUCAUGGGAGUUGUAGUUUUUCCCGGCUCCCCGAGUUCUGUACACCCGUUGCCUUCCCUUCCCUCAGAGAAAGCACCAGCCCUUGGCUGUUGUUCCCUGACGCUUCUUAUGUUGUGCAGUGCUGGUCUCCUGCUUUAAGAUCAGUGCCUUGCUCAGCCAUCAUCAGAGAGGCUUCCUUCUGCAGCAGAUGGGAACAAAUA